CAAUGGGUGAUUGCAACAACUAAACAGGAAGCAGUUUGGAAGAAAAUUAGGCAUCCUAUUUAUCUUUCCCUAUGCCCUAGGUCUUCAUUUCCAAAGAAUCAAAUGUAUUUUUUAUCUGUAUCUCUAUUAUAAAUCCCACUAACCUCUUCUUCAGUGAAAGAAUAUGUUCAAAAUUUUAUCAUCACUAGGUAAUAAGUAUGGAUAAGAGUGUAUGGAUAAUGUCAUAAAACAUUCUCCUAGAGAGGUCUCAUUUCUCAUCAACAGGAUCUUGUGCUUGAAGCACUGUUCAAUUCAUAUAGACUCUACCAUCUAUUUAUGAAUAUUCUGUAUAUCUCUUUGGAAA
rnacentral:lncRNA from 1 species